AUUCAUUGUUUAUCAUAGUUCGAUGGAGCGUGUGUGGUUUACCGGCACAUCGAAUAGGUGAUCGUUACAAUGAAGGCACCAUGUGAAUUUGCAUGGUAAUUCACACCCGCUUUGUGAUCCUCGGCAUCCCAGUCACAAACAAGAGGGGCAUAUCGAGAUUUAAACAUGCCAUUGAAUAGUUUCAAUGAAUCUCAUCCGAACCUAGGAAUUCUCAAAAACACUUAGGACUAAUAGUUUAAGUUUUGUGAUGGAGAAUUAGUGAAUCGUCAUUCACUUACCUUCAAUUUAUUUGCAUGUUAGAUUACGGCAUCCCUUUUCUAGUAUGUAAAUGUUAUUGUUGGAUCCUAGCCCUAAUUUUCUUAUUGGGUGAUAAUUAGGGAUUCUUAUUCUAAUCUAUCUUUGUCCUUUUCUAAUUGUAGAUGUCGAACGCAAACAACGCUGCUGCUAGUUCUUUCACGUUGAUGAGCCUUUGCCAAAAGGUCACCUUCGAUGGAACGAACUUUAGCGAAUGGAUAAGAUACAUUCGCACCAUUGCUCGCUAUGAGGAUAAGGAGUAUGUCCUCGAUGAGAAGCUCGAGAAAAUCAACCCCGAAAUUGCUACUCCCGCCGAAAUCACCGCCUUUGAAACUCAUGAGCGAGAUGCAACGAAGGUACAUUGCAUCAUGAUCGCCACCAUGAACUCCGAAUUCCAAAAGUCCUACGAGGACAUGUACCCGUACGAGAUGCAUCAAGACUUAUUGGAGAGGUACCACCAAAACGCGAGACAAGAGAGGUACGAGAUUUUCACUAACAUGAUUUCCGCGAAGAUGGGUCAUGGAGAAUCUCUUACCGUGCACUUGCAAAAGAUGCAAAGGUAUGUUGACCGCCUUCGCAAGUUAAAUGUUGACUUCGGUGAAGACUUGGCGAUCGACAUGGUGCUUCACUCUUUGCCUCCGAUGUACAACCAAUUUAGGAUGACCUACCACAUGAACAAAGAAGAGGUCACCCUAAGCAAGCUCCAAGGUCUCUUGAGGGUUGCUGAGAGCAACUUCAAAGACAAGUCUGUUGCACCUACUCCCAAUCCGCCCGCUGCUCCUGUCUUGGCUAUUGGACAAGGGAAGGGAAAGAAGAGGAAAGCUUCAUCGAAGAACUAUCGCAAGGUGAAAGCCCGAGAUGGUGCCUCUUCUAGUGGGACCAAAGUUGAUCCCGCCAAGCCCUGCUCUAACCCGAAGGAGGCAGAGUGCCACCACUGCCACAAGAUAGGACAUUGGAAGAGAAGCUGCCCGGAUUACCUGCAAGCAAUCAAAGAAGGAAAGAUCAAGCCAUCUUUCGCAGGUAUAUAUACAAUCAAAUCUAACGAUUCUAAUCAUGCUAUUUCUUGGGUUCUUGAUACCGGUUGUGGUUAUCACAUUUGUUCUAAUGUGCAGGGACUAAGAAGAAGUAGGGAUGUGGAGCAAGGAAGGAUCAAUCUAAUCAUGGGGAACAGAAGAUCGUCGCCUGUGACCAAGAUUGGAGUGUAUUCCUUAGUGCUUAGGAAUAGUUUAGUUUUAGAUUUGAACAAUUGUUGCUAUUCGCCAGAAAUGGCAAGAAACAUCAUUUCAUUUCAUGGUUUAUAUAGACAAGGAUUUAGAUUUUCUUUUAAUAAUGAGAAUGGUUCUAUUUUGGCUUAUCUAAAUGGUGUCUUUUACUUUGAAGCUAUACCAUGUAAUGGAAUAUAUGAAACCGUUAUGAUUGUUGAUAACUUAGGAAAUGAUGUUUUGAAUAUUGAUUCUUCCACUAGUAUGGAUAAAGCAUCCUUGUGGCAUUGUCGUCUUGGACAUGUCAACAAGAAACGCAUAGCCCAACUCCAAAAGGAUGGAGUGUUGGAGUCAUUCGACCUUAGGGAAGAUGACACAUGCGAGUCUUGUUUGCUUGGAAAGAUGACUAAGUCACCCUUCACGAGUACAUGUGAAAGGGGCGAGGGUCUAUUGGACCUAAUACAUACCGAUGUAUGUGGACCGUUUAGAUCAACCACGAAGGAUGGGAACCGCUUCUAUGUGACUUUUACCGAUGACUAUAGUAGAUAUGGGUAUAUCUACUUAAUCAAGCAAAAGUCAGACACCUUUGAAAAGUUCAAAGAGUUCAAGAAUGAAGUGGAGAAUCAAUUGGGCAGGAAAAUCAAGAUGCUUCGAUCCGAUCGAGGAGGAGAGUACCUAAGUCUUGAAUUCCACGAUUAUCUCAAGGAGUGUGGAAUAGUUUCGCAAUUGACGCCUCCUAGGACACCGCAGUUGAAUGGUGUGGCAGAAAGGCGUAAUCGAACCUUAUUGGAUAUGGUUCGCUCUAUGAUGAGUCGUGCUUCACUACCUAUCUCUUUUUGGGGGUAUGCCUUAGAGACUGCCGCCCAUAUCCUUAACCGAGUCCCUACUAAGAAGGUUGCCAAAACACCUCACGAGAUGUGGACAGGGAAAGCUCCCUCGUUGGCACAUAUCAAGGUUUGGGGUUGCGAGGCUUUCGUAAGACGAGAUACUCACGACAAGCUUGAACCUCGAAGUGAGCGAUGUAUUUUCAUCGGCUACCCGCAGACAUCCUUUGGAUAUCUCUUCUAUAGACCGAAGGACAAUGUUGUCUUCGUUGCGAGGAGAGGAGUUUUCCGAGAGCGAGAACUCAUAAGCCAAGGAGACAGUGGGAGGCAAAUCGAGCUUGAAGAGAUUCAAGAGUCGAUAGAUGAAGGAACCUCUACCGCUGGCACUCAACCCGAGGAGGAAACUCCGGUUGAACCGAUUGACGAAUCCUUACCUCUUAGACGUUCCGAUAGAGUUAGAGUUCAACCCCAGUUUUAUGGUUUUCAUAUUACUACCGAAGGGGACACGUAUAUUAGUGAUGGUACACUAAUAAAUCUUGAUGAACCUAAUAGCUAUAAGGAAGCCAUGGCAGGCCCGGAGUCUGCAAAAUGGAAAGAGGCAAUGGAUAGCGAGAUCCAAUCCAUGUAUGAUAACCAAGUUUGGAAUUUGGUUGAUUAUGUGCCCGGACGUAAGACCGUUGGGUGCAAAUGGAUCUUCAAGAAGAAGACCGACGUGGAUGGAAACGUACACACAUAUAAAGCGCGAUUGGUUGCGAAGGGCUUUACUCAAACUCCCGGAGUUGACUAUGAUGAGACCUUCUCACCAGUUGCGAAGAUUAAAUCUAUUAGAGUGAUGCUAGCAAUUGCCGCAUUUCAUGAUUAUGAGAUUUGGCAAAUGGAUGUCAAGACCGCUUUCCUUAACGGAAAGUUGGCUGAGGAUGUUUACAUGGCUCAGCCAGAGGGGUUUGUGGAUCCGAAGCAUCCGAAUAGAGUGUGUAAGCUUGAGAAGUCCAUUUAUGGACUUAAGCAAGCGUCUCGCAGAUGGAAUCUUUGCUUCGAUGAGAAAGUCAAAGAGUUUGGAUUUGUACGAAGCGAAGACGAAUCUUGUGUAUAUGUCAAAGCCAGUGGGAGUAUAGUAAGCUUCCUCGUUCUAUAUGUCGAUGACAUAUUACUCAUAGGAAACGACAUCCCGACUCUGCAGGAAGUUAAGUCCUGGCUCGGGAAGUGCUUCGCUAUGAAGGACCUCGGAGAGGCUUCUUACAUUUUGGGAAUAAGGAUAGUAAGAGAAAGAAGUAAGAGACUAAUUGGACUUAGUCAGAAUACUUACUUAGAGAAGGUACUAAAACGUUUUAGUAUGGAAAACUCAAAGAAGGGAGAACUACCGAUACAAAGUAAUGCCAAAUUGAGUAAGACUCAAAGUCCGAGUACCGAAGCUGAGAUAGCAGAAAUGAGCCGAGUACCAUACGCUUCCGCAGUUGGCUCAAUCAUGUACGCUAUGACUUGUACUCGCCCUGAUGUAGCCUUCGCUUUGAGCAUGGUUAGCAGAUAUCAAGGGAAUCCUGGCAAAGCACAUUGGAUUGCGGUGAAGAAUAUCCUUAAGUACCUUCGGAGGACGAAGGAAUGGUUCUUAGUCCUCGGAGGGAGUGAUGACUUGAAGGUGCGAGGGUAUAGUGACGCCAGUUUUCAGACCGACAGGGACAACUACCGUUCGCAGUCGGGCUGGGUCUUUACCCUAAAUGGAGGAGCAGUGACAUGGAAGAGUUCCAAGCAGGAAACCGUAGCUGAUUCAACGUGCGAAUCAGAGUACAUUGCAGCGAGCGAAGCGUCGAAGGAGGCAAUAUGGCUAAAGAACUUCAUCGGUGAUCUUGGAGUCGUACCUGCCAUAAAGGAGCCAAUGGAGAUUUUCUGUGAUAACGAAGGUGCGGUUGCCUUAACCAAGGAACCGAGGGAUCAUGGUAGAUCAAGACAUAUCGACAGAAAGUAUCACUUCAUUAGACAUCGUGUAGAAGAAGGACAACUCGUAGUGAAGAGGAUAUCAUCAGAAGAUAACCCAGCAGAUCCGCUUACGAAGGGACUGAGUAGGGUUAAGCACUUGCAGCAUGCUAGGAGUAUUGGGCUGAAGGAUGAUAUUAGCAUAGAUUAGAUAGUAUUAGAAACGUGUAAUAGAUAAAUGUAAUUGACAUUUGAUGAUUAAAUAAAGGAGUUUUAUUUAUGAGUAAUGUUACUAUCUUAUGUUAAUUGUUUAGCUAUUGUUUCACUUUGCAUGUUUUGACUUCCAGAAUAAUUGAGUUUAUUAGGAAUAAUCGAAUUAUUCAAAUGGUCCACAAUCGUUCAUAUGUUGGGAGUAGAUAUGAAAGAAGAUUGUCAUGAAUUGGUGUGUAGAAUGUCUAAAUGGUGUUAGACAUAGCAAAGGAUUGCUGCAACGUUCAUGAGUGCUUAUGAACUAGUUUUGAGCAUUGGAAUAAACCCGCGCUUGCUGGAAUCACCUUAUGGAAUACGAUAUAAAAGGUGAUCGCAAGACGAUAAUAUCAUAUAGUCUUAAAACCUAGAUAUAUGGUUUAUUAUUUGUUAAUUGAUUGUACAUUGAUAAUACGAAAACGCAUCAGUAACUUGGUGUUAUAAAACGUAUUGUUGUGUAUAGUUGGUUAAUGAAUAAGUAAAUGCAUAUAAGUCGAAGUUUAUCUGUAACUUUUAUCUAAGAAGGUAAAAGCGAUAUCUCGGCCGCUCGAUGAUUUGAUUUGACUUAUGUGCCGGGCCCGGUCAGAACUGAAUUGAUGUGUUCGAUUAAGUUCUAUGUCAAAUAAAUCAGAGAUCGAGAAACCUAAAUGCUUGACUAACCAUUCCAUAGGAUUGUCAGCAUGAUAUCUAACAGAGGACUGUACGUUCCCUUAUCUAAAGGACAAGAUUGAUUAGAUCAGAGUUGACAGCGUCUUUGAGAGCUACGAUUGCAAACCGAAUUGUACUUGUAUAGUUACUAGACUUAUCCAAGUGGGAGACUGUUGGAAUAGUGUCUAAGGCUGUAACUAUAUCCGGUUGUGCAUGGUCCUUUUGGGUUGCCUUCACCAUAGCAACUUGAUAGGAUGAUUUAUUAAGAGAGAAUAAAUAUUAUUAAUAUAUUAUGGGAAUAAUAUAAUGAAUAAUAUAUUUGUUAUUUGAUUAAUAUAAGUCAUAGAAUUAAUUAGAAUUAAUUUGGUGACUUAAAGAGAUUAAUUAAAUAAAGGGGUAUAAACUGUCAAUUGUUUGAUAGUUAAGCUUUAAACUGUAAAUCCAUUUGGAUAUACUAUGGACGAAUUCUAAGAGGAUUAGGAUAGCUAAAAUCGUCCAUUAGAGUUAUCUAGGAAUGGAUUUGGAUAGCCUUAAGAGAAGAUUAUCUGAUAGGGACUUAUCUGUAAUCCUUAAGGAGUCUACAAGUAUAAAUAGACCCCAUGGCUGAUGGAAUUCGACACUUGACCUAAAGUAAGGAACCUCUGGUCGAAAUUCCUCCCCUCUCCUCUCUCCCAAAUCAUCCUCCUUGCUUUGGUGUUUGUAAGCCAUUAGAGGAGUGACAUUUGUGACUCUAGAAGCUCCAAGACCUCAAGAUCAACAAGGAACUCAAAGGUAUGAUUCUAGAUCUGUUUUAAUGUUCUUGUUUAACCUAAUUAGUAAUUAGAAGUCUUGGAUUCAAAGCAUGUUUAUUAGAAAGCCUAGAUCCAAGCAUUAGGGUUUUGCAUGCGCACAUAGGAAAGUUCUUAUGGCUAAAACCCAUCAGUGGUAUCAGAGCCUAGCUUGGUUUUCUGUAAAUUGUUGCUUGAUUAACUGAAACAAACCUGCAAAAUUCGAAUUUUUGGUUUCUGAGUCAUGGACUCGGCGAGUCUCAAAGUGGACUCGGCGAGUAGGCCUGACUCGGCGAGUCCAUUUGUGCACUCGGCGAGUCCAGGCGUCAGGAAUGGCCAGAUUCGGGAUUUCUUUGUGUUUAUCUUAUCUUAACUUACCAUAAACUAAUUAGAUCAACAUUAAUUCGUUUUUCUGAUAAAUAUAACUAUUAUCUUGAUCUAGUUAAAGGUAAUUAUCAACUAAUUAAAUAUUUAAUUUCCUUAUAUGAUAAUUAAUUAAUUAUUUUGAUUAUUUUGGUAAUUAUCUUUAAAAGAAAUCUUGAAUAAAUCAAAUAUAGAUAAUUAGGAUAUUAAUUGUUAAUUGGAAUUAUUUGUUAUUUGAUCCUCCAUGUUUUAAAUGUUUAAAACCUACCCUCAUGUUUUGAAAUUUACUUUUGUGAUUAAAAGUUUUAAUUUAGACAACUUAAAUUUCAAACCCUAGAUUUUAAAAGUUUUAAAAUACAACCCUAUACUAAUAUGAUAUUACUAGAAUAAUAUAUAUAUGUAUAACUAAAUGCUAGUCUUACCGUUAGUAGGCCUCAUUCACGAAGCCGAUCUAUAAGGUGGGUAUAAGGUUGCGGCCUAUAAAAUGGCGCUUAAUGGGUGUACACUCACACCCACCGCUUGCUUGAUUGGUGGAGGGUCGUUAGCCGAACGGGUAGGAUAGGGCAACCUCAUCCUCUCAUUAAAAGUAUAAUAAGAAAUACAAAGUAACUACACUUUUUUUAAAAUUUCCCAAUCCUAGUUACUUUAGGAAAAGUGAAUUGAUGCAAUCCCAUGAAAUUACACUUUGCACCUUGCUAAGAUGUUAGUGGAGCGUGUGUGGUUUACCGGCACACUAAUUGGUUCUAAGCGAAGGUGGCAAAGGGUGAUUCAUUGUUUAUCAUAGUUCGAUGGAGCGUGUGUGGUUUACCGGCACAUCGAAUAGGUGAUUGUUACAAUGAAGGCACCAUGUGAAUUUGCAUGGUAAUUCACACCCGCUUUGUGAUCCUCGGCAUCCCAGUCACAAACAAGAGGGGCAUAUCGAGAUUUAAACAUGCCAUUGAAUAGUUUCAAUGAAUCUCAUCCGAACCUAGGAAUUCUCAAAAACACUUAGGACUAAUAGUUUAAGUUUUGUGAUGGAGAAUUAGUGAAUCGUCAUUCACUUACCUUCAAUUUAUUUGCAUGUUAGAUUACGGCAUCCCUUUUCUAGUAUGUAAAUGUUAUUGUUGGAUCCUAGCCCUAAUUUUCUUAUUGGGUGAUAAUUAGGGAUUCUUAUUCUAAUCUAUCUUUGUCCUUUUCUAAUUGUAGAUGUCAAACGCAAACAACGCUGCUGCUAGUUCUUUCACAUUGAUGAGCCUUUGCCAAAAGGUCACCUUCGAUGGAACGAACUUUAGCGAAUGGAUAAGAUACAUUCGCACCAUUGCUCGCUAUGAGGACAAAGAGUAUGUCCUUGAUGAGAAGCUCGAGAAAAUCAACACCGAAAUCGCUACUCCAGCCGAAAUCACCGCCUUUGAAACUCAUGAGCGAGAUGCAACGAAGGUACAUUGCAUCAUGAUCGCCACCAUGAACUCCGAAUUCCAAAAGUCCUACGAGGACAUGUACCCGUACGAGAUGCACCAAGACUUAUUGGAAAGGUACCACCAAAACGCGAGACAAGAGAGGUACGAGAUUUUCACUAACAUGAUUUCCGCGAAGAUGGGUCAUGGAGAAUCUCUUACCGUGCACUUGCAAAAGAUGCAAAGGUAUGUCGACCGCCUUCGCAAGUUAAAUGUUGACUUCGGUGAGGAUUUGGCGAUCGACAUGGUGCUUCACUCUUUGCCUCCGAUGUACAAUCAAUUUAGGAUGACCUACCACAUGAACAAAGAAGAGGUCACCCUAAGCAAGCUCCAAGGUCUCUUGAG
rnacentral:lncRNA from 1 species